CCGCAACGUCAUUCUAUCUUUAUUCAAUGUUCAGUGAGGAAUAAAGACAGAAUGACGUUGCGGUCGUUGCGAUGUGUAGUGAAAGAAGUUGAGUGAGAAUGUGAAGGAAGACUCAGGCGGGAGAUCCGACCGCAGCCGAGGAAGUGUUAUUGUUUUAGUUCGUCGUUAAAUAACCUAUUCCAUUGAGUGAGAUUGAAUACAAUCCAGGACAAUUGGUCGAAAUGUGUCUCGCACAUAGACGAGCAAAAAAAUUACCAGAACCGUUUCUAGUUUCGCGAGAGAUUAUUGUAAAGAAAUAAUCUGUCGCUGUAAGUUCAUUCACUGAAUACUUUACGAAAUCCUUUCACGGAGGGGAAAAUGCUUCGAGUGCGCUCCCAGAAUAGCGUGUAUGAGCAGGAGGCGAAAUUUGUACAGGAUCGUAUAACAGGCGUGGAGAAGCACUUCGCUGAACUAUGCACGAUAUUUGCAGCGUUUACCAGGAAAGCGGCCUGACUGCGCGAUAAAAGUGACGAGUUUGCAAAAGUAAUACAGGUCUAUGUGAUCGAAAACUAUAAAUCGAUCUAUGAGUACUGGAUUGGCGAACUUUUCAGCAACGUUAUCAGUCGUCGGUGAUUAUAGUAGAGAUGCAGAAGUGCAAAGAUUGGACGCCAAAGUAAGUGCGCCUCCUUCACAGUACGCAAUGAUUUGCAAGCAUGCACCCGAUGAUGUAAAAUAUACCUUCGCAGCACGCGACAGAGAAUUCACAGGACGAAGGCAAUUGAACAAAGUUCGAGAAAGAAACCCUAGGAAUGGUCAAAUGGUAUCACAAGCCGAGUCUGAACUGAUGAAAGCAUUCGUUGAGAUGUCCCGAGUGGUCAAGGGAUUGGAGGAGCAGAUCAACUCGUUCGAGCGACGAAAGCUGCACGAUUUGAAAUCUGUACUAUUGGAUUUCGUCACCAUCGAACUGAGGUUUCACAGAAAGGCUCUUGAACUUCUGACUAAAGCGUACCAAGAUAUCGUAUCCAUCGACGAGAUUAAAGACCUUGAGGAAUCAAGAGACUUUAGAGAAACAAUGCGCGCCCCUGACUCCGUCACAAAGCUGGACACAGUAAACAGAACGUCGUUUCGACACGCUUAUUCCUUAACGAACUUAGCUAACCGAUUUGCAUCCUCUCCUGCAACACUGCAGAAAUUGGCUAAUCGAGAAGCCGAGUCUGCUGAUUCCGUACAAACCAGAUUCACCAAUUCAUCCAAGUCGGUCCAAGUUCUCAGGCCUAUCCCACCAAUCCCUACAUGUCAGAAGUCCUUCAUAUCGUCCAUAAUAUCCAUAAUAUAUCGCAUACCUUCGAAAAUGAUUGUAUUAUACACUUACUUUACUUACUUUUGACAAAUACUCGAUUUGUACUUUAGAUAUAAAUGUCUAUGAAUAGUUGUUUAAGAUUUAAUAAAAGAAGAGGAUCCUGAAUCAUCUUUAUAAUG